UUUUGCAUCAAUUAAUAAUUUUAUAUAUUGAAAUCAUUUUCUAUCGAUAAUGAUAAAGUAGUUUACAAUAAAACUCCUUAAAAUGAAGCUCGUGGUUCUCUUUCUUCUGGUAUGUCUUGCAAAUCUCGUGGCUGUAUCCGAAAGUUGUUGUACAAACAAAAAUCCAUGCACUGGACACGAUGAUUGUUGCGACGGUUAUUCUUGCAAAUCAUCUGGUGAAUCCGGGGAAAAGAACUGCAAACAUAUAAGAAAAAUAGGCUAAUGAGAGCGGAGCUGAAAUAUUUAAGUAUUGUUUGUGUAUUUUUGUUUUAU